rnacentral:misc_RNA from 1 species
CCCUGCUUGUGCAGCGACGGCCACUCUUUCAUUCCUUUUCAUUCUUGCUCCAAGCGCGAUAUGCCUUGGAUCAACUCGGUUGCCUGUGUUGUAUACCUACGUCGAUGGAAUUCUCUUGUCCAAUCGCCCCUAAUUCACCUUGCGCUGCUCACGCGGUGCGAGAUGAACCAUGCAGUGUUCUUUGUUGUCCGUUCUUGCCACACGUUCGCGCGUCGCAUGAAAUGGCCAACGUUGCAACACUCGAAUUCUCGGAUACGGAACCUUAAGUGGGUAAUGGGUCUUUGGCCUUUAUUUGCCCAAACUAAGCGUUCUCGCUUCUUACGAACGAUUGUCGCGCCCGUUUUUGACCUGAGGAUACUUUCGGUCCGAUUGGCUCAUGCGGUGCCGGCGUCGAAGAGGAAUGCUACCUGGUUGAUCCU